CCUGCCCCUCCCCCGCUCCCUCCUUCCCCCACCUCUUGCCCCACCCUGCUGGGGUCCUGCCCCUCCCCCGCUCCCUCCUUCCCCCACCUCUUGCCCCACCCUGCUGGGGUCCUGCCCCUCCCCCGCUCCCUCCUUCCCCCACCUCUUGCCCCGCCCUGCUGGGGUCCUGCCCCUCCUCCACUCCCUCCCUGCCGCCCGAUCAGCUGAUGGCCCAGGACGGGGAGAAGCCAGCCGCAGCGCGCUCUCUGCUUCCGGGACCUUGGGGAAGCGGGUGGAAUCAGGGCAUAUCCCCUCCAGCCCCAUGCUGUGAGCUGCUCUGGGCAGGGGGCUUGGAGCACCCCACGACCCUAGCCCUCACCCCCAGCCCUCUACCCUGACCCCUGCACCCCCCAAACUACCAGCCCUCUGCCCUGACCCCUACAACCCCCAAGCACACCCAGCCAUCUGCCCUGACCCCUGCACCCUCCUCACACACCCUCCCAGCCAUCUGCCCUGACCUCUUCACCCCUCCACACCCUCCCAGGCCUCUGCCCUGACCCCUUCACCCCCUCACAUCCCCAGCCCUGACUCCAGCACCCCCACACAUACCCAGCCCCCCCACACCCCAUGCCCUGACUCCUGCACCCUCCUCACAUGCCUCCAGCCCCAUGCCCUGACUCUUGCACCCCCCACAUUCCCACCCCCACCCUGAACACCAAAGGGAGCUCCUGCACCCACCCCCUCCACAUUCCCACCUGCACCCCUUGCACCAAAUGGGAGCUGCCCAGGUAAGCACUCCACACCCAAACCUCCUGCCCCAAGCCUGAGCCCCCUCCCUCAUUCUAGCUCCUGGCCAGAUCCUACACCCCAAUCCCCAGUCUGCUGCUUCACCCGCAGCCCUGUGCUCAGUGCACUCGCAUCCUCCGCUCAGUGCAGAGAGAGAGGAAGAGAAUGGGCUAGAGCCAGGGAGGAGGUAGGUACCCACUCUAUGUGGGCAGGGCCAGGAUCCCAGAGCGGCAGCGGGCUGAGCAGGGCGGGCAGCCAGGACCCUGGCUGGCAGGAGCCGGCGGAUGGAGCCCCAGACCGGCAGCAGGCUGAGUGGCUCAGCCCACCGCCAGUCUGGGGUCCCAGUCAUUGACCCCGCUCAGCCCACUGCUGGUCUAGGGUCCCGGCCCCACUCAGGCCGCUGCCGGUCUGGGGUUCUGGCUGCCGGCCCCUUGCCAGCCAGGGUCCUGGCCGCAGGCCCCGCUCAGUCCCCUGCCGGCCUAGGUGAACGGAAGCCCAGGCUGGCAGCAGGCUGAGCGGGCUGGCGGCAUAAGAUCAGCAUUUUAAUGUAAUUUUAAAUGAAGCUUCGUAAACAUUUUGAAAACCUUGUUUACAUGCGACAAUAGUUUAGUUAUAUAUAGACUUAUAGAGAAAGACCUUCUAAAAAAAGGUUAAAAUGUAUUCCUGGCACACGAAACCUUAAAUUAAAGUGAAUAAAUGAAGACUCAGCACACCACUUCUGAAAGGUUGCCGACCCCUGAUUUAGACCGUAGAGGGAAUUUGUGUCCAAGCCAGAACCAAAAUGUUACUGGAUGCCAGGCCUGUACCCAGGACCACCAGGCCACACUUCCCUAACAUCUUUUUUCACAACAACCCUUUCAUUGUAAAAGGGUGUCACAAAUGUUCACGUGGUGUGAAAAUACAGCUGGUGUAAAAUACAAAAAUAAAUGUCUCCUGUUACAGGAGAGCCACGGGGAUCUGGUGACCAGAAUGACAGCCGGUGCCUGUCACAAUCAGAUAUCUGCAGUUAAACUUUCCACCCACUGAUUUCUUAAGCUCUGUUUUCUCUUGGGUAUUUGAGGCGAUUCCUGUACAAUACAAGCCUGACAUUGCAGGACAAGUACCAUUCUUGUCAGUUAACACAGGCCCAACUGAAGUCAAAGAACAGGUUAGGCUUGUCAAGCUUAUAAACGCACACUAAACCCAGAGGAAUCAGACAUUCCAGAACGAACCUUAACAUUGGGGAACCUGUUACAAGCAGCCUUCUGGAGAGCAAAAUAUUUCCAUUUCUGAAAGCUGGAUUGUUGGCAGGUCCAAUACACUUCUUUAACCAGACACUCGAUUCUACUGUAUUUGUGGAAUUUCAACAAGUACUGUUGCAACUGGUGGGGUGAAGAGGAAAAGACAGUUACCUUUUCCAUAACUGGUGAUCUUUGAGAUGUGUUGCUCAUGUCUAUUCAACAAUAGGUGUGUGUGCUCGCCACGUGCACCGGUGCCGGAAGUUUUUCCCCUAGCAGUAUCUGUAGGGGAGCGACCCCUGGAGUGGCAACUCCAUGGCAUGGUAUAAGGGAUGUGGCGCGCUCCCCCCACCCUCAGCUCCUUCUUCCCAGACAACUCCGACAGAGGGGAAGGAGGGCGGGGUGUGGAAUGGACAUGAGCAACACAUCUCGAAGAACAUCAGUUACGGAAAAGGAGUACUUGUGGCACCUUAGAGACUAACCAAUUUAUUUGAGCAUAAGCUUUCGUGAGCUACAGCUCACUUCAUCAGAAAAGGUAACUGUCUUUUAUUCUUCGAGUGAUUACUCAUAUGUAUUACUCAUAUGUAGGAAUGUUAUCAGGAGGGCCAAAUCGCACCUGGAGCUGCAGCUAGCCAGAGAUGUCAAGAGUAACAAGAAGGGUUUCUUCAGGUAUGUUAGCAACGAGAAGAAAGCCAAGGAAAGUGUGGGCCCCUUACUGAAUGAGGGAGGCAAACUAGUGACAGAGGAUGUGGAAAAAGCUAAUGUACUCAAUGGUUUUUUUGCCUCUGUUUUCACUAACAAGGUCAGCUCCCAGACUGCUACGCUGGGCAUCACAAAAUGGGGAAGAGAUGGCCAGCCCUCUGUGGAGAUAGAGGUGGUUAGGGACUAUUUAGAAAAGCUGGACGUGCACAAGUCCAUGGGGCCGGACGAGUUGCAUCCGAGAGUGCUGAAGGAAUUGGCGGCUGUGAUUGCAGAGCCAUUGGCCAUUAUCUUUGAAAACUCGUGGCGAACCGGGGAAGUCCCGGAUGACUGGAAAAAGGCUAAUGUAGUGCCAAUCUUUAAAAAAGGGAAGAAGGAGGAUCCUGGGAACUACAGGCCAGUCAGCCUCACUUCAGUCCCUGGAAAAAUCAUGGAGCAGGUCCUCAAAGAAUCAAUCCUGAAGCACUUGCAUGAGAGGAAAGUGAUCAGGAACAGCCAGCAUGGAUUCACCAAGGGAAGGUGAUUCCAAGCUAUAUCUGUUGGAGGUGGGUAGGAGUUCACAGACUCUUGCGAGGGAGCACAGCCCUGCCGAACCCGGUGUCCUCCCUGGUUUGGGAGACAAUCGCAUAAUGAGAGGUGAACAUGUGAAGAGAAGACCAUGUGGCAGCCCUACAAAUGUCCUGAACGGGGACAUGAGCUAAAAAGGCAGCCAACGAGGCUUGCGCCCUUCUCGAGUGUGCCCUCACAAUCAACAGCGUGGGGAUUCCCACCAGGUCAUAACGGGUAUGGAUACAUGAGGUGAUCCAGUUGGAGAGGCACUGAGUGGAGAUCGGCCGACCUCUCUUGCGUUCGCCCGAGGCUAUGAACAGCUGCAAAGACUUCCUGAACAGCUUAGUCCGCUCCAGGUAAAAGGCCAGGGCCCGUCUCACAUCCAGUGUGUGGAGGUGGUGCUCCUCACUGGAUGCGUGGGGCUUGGGACAGAGGACCAGCAGGAAGAUGUCCUGACCCAUUUGAUAGGAGGAGACUACCUUAGGGAGGAAUGAAGGAUGCGGAUGGAGCUGGACUUUAUGGAACACCGUGUACGGGGGCUUGGAGGUCAGGGCUCUGAGCUCCGAAACCCAUCUAGCUGACAUGAUCGCCACCAGGAAGGCUACCUUCCACGAGAGGUGUGACCAGGAGCAUGUAGCUAGCAACUCAAAAGGGGGAACCCAUCAAUCGGGCCAGCACUGAGUUCAGGUCCCACUGAGGGCCUAACAUAUGGGAAGAGAUGAUCCAAUCCCUGAAGGAAUCGGCCAGUCAUAGCAUGGGAGAAUACUAGGUGCCCCUGCACCAGCGGGUGGAAGGCCGAUAUUGCCACCAAGUGCACCUUGAUGGACAAGGGCGCUAGACCUUGAGCUCUAGGAUGAAGGAGGUAGUCUAAAAUGAGUUGGCUCAAAGCAGCCACAGGCGAAAUGCCCUUCUCAGCCACCCACCAGGAAAACCGAGACCACUUCGCCAAGUAGGCCCGACACGUGUAGGGCCACCUGCUUUCCAGAGGGACAUGCUGAACCCCUUCCGAGCACGUCCUUUCCUCCCGGCCUACCCAUUGAGCAGCCACACUGUGAGGUGGAGUGCCACUAGGUUGAGAUGGAGAAGGCGGCCCUGGUCCUGAGAGAUUAGGUCCAGGCGGGAUGGCAGUGGCCAUGGCGGGAUGACUGCCAGGCUGAUGGGGGUCCCGUAACAAUGUUGCCUGGGCCACGCCAGGGCAAUCAGGAGGACCUGUCUGUUUUUAUCUUUUCCAGGACCUUGCCGAUCGGCGGGAUCGGGGGGAAGGCAUAGAGGAGCUGGACCGACCAGGAUAGGAGGAAGACAUCGGAGAUGGCGCCCACUCCCAGCCCUCCCCUGGUGCAGAAACAGGGACACAGGUGGUUCUGCCAAGUCGUGAACAGCUCCACCUGGGGAGUACCCCACUCUUGGAAAAUCCUGUCCACCACCUCUGGGUGUAGUGACCACUCAUGCUGAGAGGACAAAUCUCAGCUCAGGCGAUCCACCCACGAGUUCCGGGCACCCGGCCCAGGGUGGCACACGUGGCCAGGAGGAGCUCCACAUGAUCCCGCACCUGCGACCUGGAGUUGCCUUGGGACCAGUCAGUUGUCCAGGUAGGGGAAGAUCUGGACCCCAUGAUGUCUGAGGUAGACCGCCACCACAGACGUGCACUUUGUGAACACCCUGGGAGCAGUGGACAGGCCAAACAGGAGGACCAUAAAUUGGUAAUGCUCCUGCCCCACCGUGAAACGGAGGAAGCAUCUGUGCCCCUCGAAUAUAUGAAUGUGGAAGUACGCGUCCUGCAGAUCGAGGGCGCUGUACCAGUCCCAGGGAUCCAGGGAGGGGAUGAUGGAGACCAGGAAGACCAUGCAGAACUUGAGCUUCACCACGUACUGGUUCAGGCCUCGCAGGACCAGGAUGGGCCUGAGCCCCCCUUUGGCCUUCGGGAUAAGGAAGUAGCGGGAGUAGAACCCCUUGCCCAUGAACUCCGCUGGCACCGCUCCCAAGCCAAGGAGCUGCUCCACCUCCUGCUCGAGAAGGGCCUCAUGAGAGGGGUCCCCCAGGAGGGAUGGGGAGGAGGGUGGUUGGGUGGGGUAGAGGUAAACUGAAGGAGACGGUGUUGAGGACCCAACAGUUCGAAGUCAGCCGCGACCACUCUAAGAGAAAAGCACACAACCAGCUGGAGAAGGGAAACUUGAUUGCAGGUGGAUCCCUGGUAUGAACUGGUAAGUUGCCCCCAAGCGUCCCGUCAAAACUGACGUUUCCCUGCCUGUUUACCCUUGGAGGGGCCAGGCUGGGGGGCAGACUGGGACUGCCUCUGCAGGCGUUUCUUAUAGUCCCGAGACUUUUUAUAGAGGGGCUCGUAUUUAGAGUGGGUGGCCUGGGUGGGAGCCUGCUGCAGCUUAAACUUGGUCCUGGCCAGAGCCGGGACAUAGAGGCCAAGUGUCUUAAGCAUCGUCCGGGAAUCUUUCAGUCCGUGCAAUUUCACGUCCGUGUGUUCCACAGGCAGGGGCUUGCCAUUAAACGGAAGGUCCUGUAAGGAGUUCUGCCCCUCACUGCACAGCCCGACAGCAGGAGCCACAACGCCCUCCUCAUGGGCACCGCAGAGGCCAUAGACCUUGCAGCCGUAUCCGCGGCAUCCAGUGCUGCCUCCAGGGUUGCCCUGGCAGCCACUGUACCCUCCUCCACCAGAGCUUUGAACUCCUUCUUGUCACGCUCCUGGAAGGAGUCCUCAAAUUUGGAUAGAGAGCCCCACAAAUUGAACUCAUAAAGACCCAGAAGAGCCUGAUGGUUUGUCACAACUGGAAGCUCGAGGACGAACAAACCUUUCUCCCAAACAAGUCCAGCCUCCUUGAGCCUUUAUUUUUCAGGGUAGGGGCUGGUUGGCCCUGCCUCUCCCUGUGGUUGACUGACUUGACCACCAGGGAAUUAGGGGCAGGGUGGGUGUACGGGUAUUCAUGCCCCUUGGCGGGCACAAAGUACUUCCAUUCUGCCCUCUUAGAGAUGGGGGGCAAGGAAGCCGGGGUUUGCCACUAGGCGUUUGAAAUUUUUGCCACCCCUUCGUGGAGUGGGAGGGCCACCCUGCCCGAUGCCGAGGCCGAGAGGACAUUGAAUAGGGAGUCCGAGGGUUCCUCCUCCUCCUCAGCCUGAAGGUUGAGGCUCGAUGCCACCCUUUUCAGUAGUUCCUGGUGGGCCUUGGAGUCCUCGCGUGGAAUGGAGGGGGGAGGGGCCAUAAUCGCCUCAUCAGGGGAGGAUGAGGAUGCGGGUGCGGUACUCUCCGUACCCACCAGCACUGGAGGUUCCACCGCUUGGUCGCCCUCCGGGCACGGAUCCGAAGAUGCACGCCCCACCGACUCCUUCCUGGGAGGCUGGGAAAGGGAGGCCGACGGUCUUUCCGAGGCUCCGGCUACUGAGCGAGCCCCGCCGGGGGCUGCGCCGGGGGCCACGGGGCCCAUUGGUGCCACGGUGCUGGCCCGGAGCUCAGUGCCCCUGCACCUGCUGCGGCAGCGGUGGGGCCGCCUGUGUAGCCUGCCCAGCCUGCCCGUCGUCUGAAGACUAUGAAGGGAGGCUGGGCUGGGGAACGCCUGCCGCUGUCCGUGGACUGGGAGGAGAGGUGGCCUCGGGGACGGUGCUGAGCACAAGACCAUGAUCCCGACGUGGAGGAACGGUGCCACCGAUGGCAGCUGCUCUGCAAUUGGCUCCGGCAGGCGGAUCCGCGACAGCGAGGAGCCAGCGAUCGACGCCGGGACAGUGGGAGCGGCGCAGCUGCGGGGUCCUGGAGCGAGACGAAGAACGGGAAUGGCAUUGACUCCCGUAUCGCGACGGGCUACAGUAGCCUCUUGGAGACGAGGACCUCCGGUGCCGUCUGUCUUGGUCUCAACGGGGCCUGGAGCUCCUGUCAGUCGGAACCCAGCCAGACAGCCUGGUGGGGGUCGACAGGGCCCGGCGCGGACUGUGCACGGUGCGGUUGCUGAGCAGCGAACGGCGUCGGGAACCUUCCGUCGACCGCGAACGGUACCAUCCAGGCGGCGACUGUGGGGGUCCAAGCGGUGGCCUGCCUCUGGACCGGGGAGCUGACGACGGUGGUGGUACUGGUACCAGCAGAGACAGAACAUCCCAGGCCGCUUGCAGCGCCUGGGUGCGUGAAGGGCGCCCAGACAUCUGGGGAGGCCUGCGCCGAGUGGGCUGGGCUACUCUGCUCAACUCGAGUCGGAGGCCUGGAGGCCGACAGGGACCGAGAACUGCCCAGCAUGGGUCUAGUCUCUCCCCCGGUCUUGCUCCGGUCUCUCGGUGGAAAAGUCCUCUUCUUAGCCUUCUUGGCGUGCCCUGCGGAUGGGGAGAGGUGCCAACUGGUGGAAGGCACUGAAGGGUUGCCACGCACCAACACCGGCACACCAGAGCGGCGCACCGGAGUCGGGGUCAACACUGACUCCAUCAGAAUGGCUCAGAGCCAAAUUUCCCUUUCCUUUUUGGUCCAAGGCUUGAAAGAUCUGCAAAUCUCGCACCGACCGCUGAGGUGGGUUUCCCCCAGACAGCGUAAACAGUCUGCAUGCGGGUCACUCACUGGCAUCGGCCACCUGCAAGUGUCUCAUGACUUAAAGCCCGGGGCAUGGGGCAUGCCCCGACCCGGGUACACUACAAUAAACUAACCCUAAUCUAAACUACUUUAACUAAAGGUACUACUAACUAUGAACGAACAGGAGUUCAAGAGGAAAGCUGCAGAUGAGCUGGAGCAGAGCAGUUCCAAUGCACCUUCACUGGCGGCAGGAAGGAGCUGAGGGUGGGGGGGGUGUGCAGGGUCCCUGAUACCGCGCCUAGAGGCGCCACUCCAGGGGUCGCUAGGGCCGCUCCCCUGUGGGUCCUGCUCAGGGGAAAAUCUGGCGGCAGUGCACGUGGCGAGCACGCACACCUACUGCGGACUGCACAUAAGCAAUCGUUGGAAGAAGAAGAGAGAUCUGAGGGUGAUGACUGGGUGCUGGUGGAUGCUGCAGAUAAAAACGUUCGGUUGCUGUUGGCAUUCACAGAACAUCUCCAUGGGGUUUGGCGCUUCUGGGGUGGAGAAAAGAGCACUGACUGGUGGGGCUGCAUCGUAAUGCAGGUUUGGGAUGAUGAGCAGUGGCUGCAGAACUUUCGCAUGCACAAGGCCAUAUUCCUGGAUCUGUGUGCCGAGCUCAUCCCAGCGCAUGAACACCAAAAGAGAGCUGCAUGGACAGUGGAGAAGCAAGUGGCGAUCACACCUUGGAAGCUUGCGACACCAGAUUGCUAAGAGUCAGUGAGCAGUCAGUCCAGAAAAUCCACAGUGAGGGCCAGUCUCAUCCAAGUGUGCAAUGCCAUUAAGCAUCUCCUUCUCCACAGUACACAACAGCUGUUAGAAAAGCCAACCGUGGAGCUGUACAGCUAAGGAAGGCCUAAAAAGAGCAUUUAACAGUCAGCUAUAGUAGUGUUGUGUGAUACUUUUAUGAAUUAGUGAGCCUGGUGUGUAAAGAUCUUAAAUAUGUCAAGGUUACUGACUCCCAUAAUCAACUUUGUAAUGUCUCAUUUAUGCUUAGUAUAAACUAAUAAAUAUUCUCAGAGUUUCCAAAAAUAUAAUUUUAUUGUGUGCAAAGAGACAGGAAACAAAGUGCAAAUAUACAAGUUAAAAACAGUUUAGCAGCACUGUAAAAAUAUGACUAAGGCUACAAUUUUAUCAUGGAGGUCGCAGAAGUCACAGACUUCGGAAGACCUCCAUGACUUUACCUGCUGGAAGCUACAAGGUACCCCUGCCACCCAAGGCAGUGGGGCGGACCCGGAAGCUCCCAGCCACUGUAGGCAGCAGGAGGGACCCCGCAGCUUCUUGCCGCUGCGGGUGCCAGAGGGCUCUGAGCAGCCAGGGGCAAGGGGGAACUCUACAACU